rnacentral:rRNA from 1 species
CCCUUAGAUGUUCUGGGCCGCACGCGGGCUACACUGAUGCAUUCAACGAGUUUCUUCCUGGUCCGAGAGGAAUGGGUAACCUUUUGAAAGUGCAUCGUGAUAGGGAUAGACUAUUGCAAUUAUUGGUCUUCAACGAGGAAUUCCUAGUAGACGUAGUUCAUCAGACUGCAUCGAUUACGUCCCUGCCCUUUGUACACACCGCCCGUCGCUCCUACCGAUUGAAUGCUCAGGUGAGCCAUUCGGACUUUCAUCAUGCUGGUUUCCAGUUUUGAUGAAGGAAAGUCUUGCGAACCUUAUCAUUUAGAGGAAGGAGAAGUCGUAACA